rnacentral:rRNA from 1 species
GACGAACGCNGGCGGCGUGCCUAAUACAUGCAAGUAGAACGCUGAAGCUUGGUGCUUGCACCGAGCGGAUGAGUUGCGAACGGGUGAGUAACGCGUAGGUAACCUGCCUGGUAGCGGGGGAUAACUAUUGGAAACGAUAGCUAAUACCGCAUGAUAUUGAUUAUUGCAUGAUAGUCAAUUAAAAGGUGCAAUUGCAUCACUACCAGAUGGACCUGCGUUGUAUUAGCUAGUUGGUGAGGUAACGGCUCACCAAGGCAACGAUACAUAGCCGACCUGAGAGGGUGAUCGGCCACACUGGGACUGAGACACGGCCCAGACUCCUACGGGAGGCAGCAGUAGGGAAUCUUCGGCAAUGGACGGAAGUCUGACCGAGCAACGCCGCGUGAGUGAAGAAGGUUUUCGGAUCGUAAAGCUCUGUUGUAAGAGAAGAACGAGUGUGAGAGUGGAAAGUUCACACNGNGACGGU